rnacentral:rRNA from 1 species
AAACUAGGACCGAGUCCUACUUGCGACUGUCUUACGAAUUGUGUACGUUCAGAUGAACUAGGAAGCCCACUUCCACCGCCUGCCCACUCAUUGCGCAUUUCUUGAACGGAAUGUCUGACCCUGUUGUAAACCUUUGCUUACGAUUAUGGCCUAUAAUACUGACUCAGCGUACUAAACCAAUACUUUCGAUAUACGCGACACUCUCUCGAAACGCAGGGUAAUCAAUCAACCACUCCAUUGCCGAGUGGUUCUGCUACUACCCAUCGGCCGGACUCUCCACCUUGCCGGUGUUCCCCUGACUCUGUGCCGGGAAUGAGGAUGCCCUCCGUCGUCACCCCUUAUAACCUGUUACCUGGUUUUCAGACUAGGUCGUUAAGACACACGUGCUACUUCAAAAAGCCUUACAUUUCACGAAAGUCAACCCUUCUUCAGUCACUGCCAUGGUUGUCUUCUUCGCUGCCGAUUUAUGCACGGUCGUCGGCGCCAUUAUGCAUACAGCGUUCGCAAUAGGCCUAAAUAACCCGCAUUUCGCGCAGAUCCGCCAAAUCAUUCAGACUACACUUUUACGCCCCGAGUUGGGGCAUAACGCAACCUUUGACGAUUUGAUCUCAUGACCUCUCCAUCCGCCUUGAUGUUCACAUCUCCACUUUAAGCAUCUAUAAACAUCCUUACGGCUACCCCUUCGGUCGGAUGACCUGUCUAUGACUGCGAUUUCGCGCUUUCGCACCCCAUCGUUUGUCCUAAUCUAUGGGACCAUCAGGUGCGGCAUUUGCUACUAAUGAUCCACAACCCCCAGCUUGGAGUCGCGGGUUCGAUUGCGCUAUUCAUUAGGCGGACCCCUCAUGCAUGCGUUCAUACUUUGAGUUUCCUUAACUGCCCCUGGGCGUGUUCGCCACCUCGUACACCAAAUUAAGCUGCGUUGCGCUCCUUGGAAUGGUCGCAAACUGUAGGGUUCUUCAAUUGUCUCUACAAAAGCACGGAGAAGCCUCCUUGAACCACUGUCCACCACGUACCGACAGCAGUCGAGCACAGCACUCUACAACCCAAUUCAGGGCGUUGCUCGCGUUGGGGAAAGCAUACAAUGGUAGUAAUUCAACCCCUGAGUACGCUCUGACGGACGCUACUCGUCCUCCUUCCACCCCUACUGCAGUUCAGUAGUACGGGGAAUAUGCGACCCGAUGUGUGCACGAUGUUACCCAUCAUGUCUCUCGACGUUUGGACGCUCCCAUUCGAUUAGAGUAUUUUGAUAAGAAUCAAGCCUAACAUGAGACGUUGAGCUCAUGUACUUCAACCUUAGCGAUCAUUAGCGUUUAGUCGAUACAACGCCACUUAUGCAAGAGCCCAGAACAUGUGUGGCGGGCAAUGUUGUGCUCUCAACCAACGUGGACUUCAUUGUCCGGAUUGGCAUUCCUCCCUACAAGGCUCCCACACUAAUCGCUAACCCCACUUCAGCAUUGUUCCAUAGGCAUGCCCUUGCACGCCCACCUAGUGGA